GAUUUACACCUCUGGAUGGAUGGAGUACUAUUAUUAAGGGCUUUAUUAGGGGCUUUAUUUGAACAGUAAACUUUCAUAUCCUCAUCCUAUGUCUUAAUAUCUGGUGAAAUACAAAACAAGUGAUGGGAUUAAAUGAAGCGAAUAUAGGAGCAAUUUUUUUUUUUUUUUCAUGUCUGCAAUAAUGACUUUUGUUGAAAUUUGUUGAGAAAUAGUACAAUUGUUUUCCUUAUUUUUUUUACUUUCUCUACCUAAAAUGCUUCAGACUAAACACAGGUUUAUUUGAUUAACCAUACAUCAUUUCUUGGGGGAAAAAAAUGUUAAAAAUGUAAAGACUUUGAAGAAAUGUUUAUUUGUUUGUCUCUCAAUCAUCACUGUAUUGCGUUGCAUUGUAUGUUUUUAUACUAUAGAGCUUUGAUCAUAAAACAAAGCAUUUAAAUACCAUCUUAUAUUAUUGUGAACUAUAGAGACUUUGAUAUUUGAUGUAUGUAAGUAGUCUGAAUACUGUUAUAAAGAUCUCAUUGAAUUUCUCUAGUUUAAAUAUUUUAAAUUAAACCUGCUUGAUGUAAUUAUUAAUGAAUUCAUAGGUUUUUCAAUGUCAUUUCCCAUCCUUUUAGUGAUUUGUGAACUGAUCUCUUUAACUAAACAAGCCGGUUCUGUGAUGACAUCAUCACACAGGAAGUGACAUCAUUUUGGAGGGAAAGCACCAGCAGCAGCAUUAGAUGAAAAUUAUUGGACUGGAGUGGUGUGGAUUACUUGUGGACUAUCAUGAUGUUUUGAUCAGCUGUUUGGACUCUCAUUCUACCCAUUCACUACAGAGGAUCCAUUGGAGCUUGAAGUCUCAGUCUCCAUUCUUUGCAAUUGCAUGGUGAAUCAACUACAAUGAAUUAAAUUCCAGAAGAAAGGAAAGUCAGACAGUUUUGGUUUGGAGCAACAUUAUGGAAAAGGUUGCUGCUGCGGAAACAGUCCCUGCGAAAAGGAAGUGAUCUCACUGCACCUGUGAGGACGAGGACGAACAUAUACACACACUUCCCAUGCAGCUGUUUGCAGUUGGAUUUUAACAGGAAGCAAUGGAGACGUCAAUUUUUUUCCCAGACCUUUUUUCCUUAUUCCCCCAAAUUCUUCAAUAUCUCUUCGGUAACUCUUAAUAUUACACAUUUCAUACAUUUACACUGACAAAUGUUCAGUGUAAAUGUAUGAAAUGUAUAAUAUUAAGAGUUAUGUAAUAAUUGUUAUGCACCAGUGUAACAAUAUAGAUACAUUUAUUUUAAUAUAAU